CGAUUGGAUCACCCUUAAUCCCAGCCACUCGCUUCACCUACAUUCUAAUUUCUAAGCAAAUAGCUAAACUUUGAUUUAAGAAAACAAACAGCAAUACACGAUCAAGCCUGCAGAAAAGCAGUCCAGGAAAUGGCUAUUCCUACAGAGGGUUUUGCAUGAUGCAGAUACUAGAAAAACAGCCAACCUCUCCCGGCCCGAGAUCCAAAUCGAGGCUCUAUUUCAUUCGUACCAUUGGAUGUCAAUCGAGGCUUUUAUCCACCGUUGAGGAGCAAAUGGCUAGCUUGCUGCAAUCUUGAAACCUGAGAAGACUAAAGAGCUUCGUUGCUAGUGAGUAGUGAUUCAAUGGCGCCAUUCAAAGAAUCCGAAUGAGGAAGCCAAUUAUACUUGCGAUUGUUACAAAGCAGGCACCUCCGCACAUAUCCUAUCAACAAAACAAGACUUGAUUAACCGAAUGAAGAAUGACUAGAUGAUUGACUGUAUAAUCUCCUUCUAUAAUCUAAGGGUGUGCUUGCUUUUCAUCUAUACUAAUAGAAAAAGAGCCUAAGGCAUCCUAAUUGUCUAUUUUACCCCUGUUACAUAUUUUAUUACAAGAUUAUUUUACAUAUUAUAUAUUUAUAAAAAUAUAUUACUCCCUCCGUCCCAUUCUAAUAGGCUCGUUUUCCUUUUUAGGAUGUCCCACUCUAAUGGGCUCGUUUUCCAUUUUAAGUAAAAAAAAGUGUACUUAAGUGGUGUGGACCACACCACUUUUCUACUAAAAAGUAAAUUUUCUUAAUCUGCGUGUCCAAAAGAAGUGAGCCUAUUGGAGUGGAACGGAGGGAGUAAUUCAUUAGAUAUUACACUUAAUCUAUGUGAUAUAUAUAUAUAUAGCUAUUGAUAAGGCUUAUAUUCAAUAAGACUUAUUAUAAAUAUAUUCAUUCAAUAAAUUAUCUAAUAAAAGUAAUGAUUAAUAGAUUUUCUAAAAUAAUAGAUUAUCAAAUAAAAUAACAUUAAUUAUACGUACAACAUACAUUCUUUCUGCUUGUCCCUCUAAAUAGAGGGAUAAAAUAAUGAGGUAUAAAUUCAUCAAUUAAAGUGAGAACCACUUUUUUAUGUCUGGUUUGUUUUGAAUAAUACUCCAUAUGUCACACUUACCUUGGUACACUUUCUUUUUUAGUUUGUCCCAUUUAUAAUGACACUUUCUAAAAAUAAUACGUGAUCCAUACAUUCUCUACACAUAAAAUAAGUAGACCCUACCCAAUUUAUACUCUUAACCCUUUAUUCUUAAUCUCUGUGCCCAAAGCAAAAGUGGAACAGAUGGAGUAAUAUAUUUAUCUCACUCUUUAUAAAGGGGUAUAAAAUUAUAACACUCUCCCUUAGGUAUAAUAUUCACCCAAGGGGUUAAUGCCUAAGGCCAAAUGUCUUAGGAUCGAGUCUCUAUGGCGCGGCCUUUAUGUUUUUUAAUUUAUACUGUUAAUUUAUAUAUAUAUAUAUAUAUAUAUAUACUANUUAUUUAUUAUUAUUAUUAUAUAUAUAUAUAUAUAUAUAUAUAUAUAUAUAUAUAUAUAUUCACUCAAGGGAAAGGUGUUGUCCAAAAUUUUAUACGGUCUGCCCAAUUUUUUUAUUACGUCAAAGCAAACGAGGUAUAAAGUUGUAAAUUGAGUUUAUCCCUUGUACCUCAAAGUAAACGCACCCUUAUGGCCAGUUUGAUAGCCUAGUUAAAGCUAUAUUAGCUCGUUAACUGACGUUAUAUUUGUGUUUGAUAGCUAAGCAACUGAACAUGAGAAGCCCGAGUUAGAUGACCGACCUGUGACGUUAUAUUUGUGUUUGAUAGCUAAGCAACUGAACAUGAGAAGCCCGAGUUAGAUGACCGACCCGGGCCUAAAACACUGUUUCAUCAUGGAUCUGUAACCAAGGGAGACCCUCGGUUAGGGAAGGUUGAGAGCACAGUAUGUCUGGUUUCAAGAAUGUCUCACAAAUUUGCCCCUCAAAAUCAAAUUAAAGCAUUAGUCACGGUUGAGCUCUUCAAGCUGAA
rnacentral:lncRNA from 1 species